rnacentral:rRNA from 1 species
UACGUAGGGUGCAAGCGUUACUCGGAAUUACUGGGCGUAAAGCGUGCGUAGGUGGUUUGUUAAGUCUGUCGUGAAAUCCCCGGGCUCAACCUGGGAAUGGCGAUGGAUACUGGCAAGCUAGAGUGAGGUAGAGGAGAGUGGAAUUCCCGGUGUAGCAGUGAAAUGCGUAGAGAUCGGGAGGAACAUCAGUUGCGAAGGCGGCUCUCUGGACCAUCACUGACACUGAGGCACGAAAGCGUGGGGAGCAAACAGG